UACAGAGGGGGCAAGCGUUGUUCGGAAUUACUGGGCGUAAAGGGCGCGUAGGCGGCCUUCUAAGUCGAACGUGAAAUCCCCGGGCUCAACCCGGGAACUGCGUCCGAUACUGGAAGGCUUGAAUCCGGGAGAGGGAUGCGGAAUUCCAGGUGUAGCGGUGAAAUGCGUAGAUAUUGCUCGGAAGGCCGGAGCCGAAGGGGCCCUACUGGUGCGCAACUGACGCUGAUGCACGAAAGCGUGGGGAGCAAACAGG
rnacentral:rRNA from 1 species